GAAAGGCCCUGCUUGCAGGGUACUCGAGUGGCGAACGGGUGAGUAACACGUGGGUGAUCUGCCCUGCACUUCGGGAUAAGCUUGGGAAACUGGGUCUAAUACCGGAUAGGAACCAUCUUUAGUGUGGUGGUUGGAAAGUUUUUUCGGUGUAGGAUGAGCUCGCGGCCUAUCAGCUUGUUGGUGGGGUAAUGGCCUACCAAGGCGGCGACGGGUAGCCGGCCUGAGAGGGUGUACGGCCACAUUGGGACUGAGAUACGGCCCAGACUCCUACGGGAGGCAGCAGUGGGGAAUAUUGCACAAUGGGCGCAAGCCUGAUGCAGCGACGCCGCGUGGGGGAUAAAGGCCUUCGGGUUGUAAACUCCUUUCGCUAGGGACGAAGCUUUUUGGUGACGGUACCUAGAUAAGAAGCACCGGCUAACUACGUGCCAGCAGCCGCGGUAAUACGUAGGGUGCGAGCGUUGUCCGGAAUUACUGGGCGUAAGGGGCUCGUAGGUGGUUUGUCGCGUCGUCUGUGAAAUUCUGGGGCUUAACUCCGGGCGUGCAGGCGAUACGGGCAUAACUUGAGUGCUGUAGGGGUAACUGGAAUUCCUGGUGUAGCGGUGAAAUGCGCAGAUAUCAGGAGGAACACCGAUGGCGAAGGCAGGUUACUGGGCAGUUACUGACGCUGAGGAGCGAAAGCAUGGGUAGCGAACAGGAUUA
rnacentral:rRNA from 1 species